GGAUAUACCAUUUGAAGAAGAAAAUGAAAAAAAUUGGGGAAAAAUAGGGUGGUGUUUCUAUGACUUGAGUCAAAUCCUGCUUUGUGAGUCAGUCAUUUUGAAGCGGCCUCAUGGUUUUGAAUGAGACGUGGGUUUCUGUGUUACAGUCGAUCUGUGGAAAGGAAUCCUAAGAACCCAAUGCUCGGUUGGCGUGAGAUUACAGAUGGGAAGGUAUAAUUGACUUCUUCUCCAUUUUCAGCUUUAGAUCAAUGCCCAUUUUGAUGGCAGGAAGAUGUGAAGCUGAUGCAUGAGAUGGGCCUGGAUGCCAACAGAUUUUAUAUCUCCUGGUCCAGGCUAAUUCCUGAUGGAUGGGGAGCUAUCAACCCAAAAGGCCUGCAGUACUACAACAAUCUCAUCAAUGAACUUGUCUGCCAGUUGAACUCUCCUGAUUGUCGUUUAUGAACCGUUCAUAAGGCAGAGCUCUUCUAGAACUAGAUACCUGUCAUCUCAAUGGACUUCCUAUUUAAUCAAUCAUUUAUUUGGCAUGGAUGAUUGAGUGCAAAUUUGUUCUUAGUUUUAAAGCCCUUUCUUUCUCAUCUUGAAUUUAAAGUUUUUAUAUACCUCGUUGUUCUCGUAUGAAUGUACUCUUCACAAUUGGUUAUCUCUUUAUUUGUUCAUAUAUCAAAUAUAUUCUUCCCUGCUGUCCUGAUUUCUGCCAUAUACCCUGUAGUGGUUAACACGGAGGCAAGCACAUUUACUACGUGCUCAACAAGCAAUUCCAAUAUCGGAAUAUGGGGGCCCAUGAAAUCAACAGACUUUUGGGCAUGCAUCUCAGUGGGUUGCUGAUUGUUUUUGUAAUCGUCAAUUUCUGAGCCACCGGUAGGAGGGUAAGAAUCUUUCUACCUACUAGACUUUUCGACAUUCCCAUCCACAAUGAGGCCCAUGAAAUCAACAGUUUUGAUUAUUGAGACAGGUCACACAUGUGGGAUUGGUUGCAUCACAACACCACUAAUCUGCAUUGAAUGUGGACCGUUGAUCAAUUCCUACACGUGUAUGGUCAUCUUUCAUCUCUUCCUGAGUGCCAUCCACUAAUAAAACAAUUAUAAAAAUAUUCCUUUUACGCAUGAAAAGGCCCCAUGUCUUCCUCCCUUUCAGUGAGCAUCAUGAUUUUCAUUCAAAGGUCUGAAAUUUAUAUUUCAUUACAUUUGGUUAGUGCCCUUUUAUUGUUCUUCAGUGCACACUCAUGGAAUAAAAUGGUGGGUCACCUUUUAACUGUGGUCAACCUUGUUGGAGUUUAUUGAAAUGAUUAGAUGCUUGUGCAACCUGCACUUGGAGGCUUUUUCUCUUAGAAAAAUGAGAUUUGAAAUUUGUGCGGCCCACAGCCUGGCCUUUGGACCCACAAGGUCUCAAGCCCUUUUUUUUUUCUUUUUUUUUUUUUUUGUGCAGCUGCCGUCUCCUCUAAAAUUUCGGUGCAUAUACACUCCCUUUGCUGCUCUUCUUUUAUACUAUUCAUCAUGUGUCACCAUAUAAUGCAAUUUUAUUUGAGCAAACCAGUUUUCAUCCAUUGUCAUAUACAAUUGAGCAAUGUAGAUGGAUGGCAUGAUCUCCAUUGGAGUAACAAGGCAUUACAUAUAGUUGCUAAUAACCAAACCAAAUGGUAAGUUACCAAUUCAAUGGUCAGUAUCAUUUGUAUGUGUAUGAUGCUGUGUCCAUUUUUCCGCCUCACUUGAGAACUGAUUAGUCUUGUUAAGCUUCGUUAGUGACUAGCCAACAAGAGAAAUCUAGAUGUUCUAUAUUGAUAAAGAACCACCCAAUCAAAAAAGAGUUAUAGUUCCAGAUUUGGUGCAGUUUAUAGGCAAGUUUAUCUCUGUCACCUUGCCAACAAAUAGACAAAUAGGAAAAGAGAAAUUUGGUCUCAGGUGUGAUGAGAUCAACUUGUAGCCAGAAAAUAAGUCCGUUCUUUAUGAAGAAACAUGCUUGAGUUGGAGCUAGGACAAGUUUCCUAUAUGGUUGGAAUGAAUUUCUUCUUUAGUUGGAAUGAAUUUCAUCCUCAUUAAAUACAGACAUAUGGCUUCUAUUGCUGCAGGAAACCAUGGGAUUCCAGUCAUUGUUGCUGGGCAUUUUUUUGGGAAUGCAAGUGGCAUGGCUGCUCAUGCACAAUAAUUGAUUAAACUCUAGUUUAGACCGUUUAUGUGUUUGUGGUAGCAAAGUGGAUAUGUUUAUGUGGGUCUCUGGAAAUUUUAAUGUGCCUUUUCUUUUCCA